GCAUGGCAUAGCUCAGCUGGUUAGAGCGCCAGAUUGUGAUUCUGGAGGUCGUGGGUUCGAACCCCAUUGCUGUGCC
rnacentral:tRNA from 1 species